rnacentral:miRNA from 1 species
UUGCGUAGGCACUUUGUCACCG